rnacentral:lncRNA from 1 species
CUGUGCCAGCAAUGAUCAACAUUUUGCCAAAUGUUAAUGACUGCUUUAUAUCCUCAUAUUUUUAUUGGAAUGUUUAGACAAAUGACCAGCCUGUUAUUUAAAUAUAAUCACGUGUCUACCUUUGAUAAGGGCCACGUUAGAUAAAGUAUUCAUCCCUUUCUUAUACAGUAGGUCUUUAAUGAUUUCGUUAGUGUUUUACACAUUUCUGUAUUUGAUUCUCUGGUUACAUCAAUUUGACCCCCUAUAAUUUGUUCAAAUCCAGAUGCUAACAAGGUCUACACUUUAUUUUUGGCUGUCAUGUAUUCAACACACUUUGGUCAGGUUAUUUUGUGACUAUUAGCAUGCUUCUGUCUGUAUGUUUUUCUGCAUUUAUUGGUUGGAUAAUAUUGUUUUAUGUCUUGUAACUAGGCUGAUGCACUAUUUUCUCCUCCUAAGGAAAAGUGAUGAACCACCCACUCUUCACUCACCCAUGUCAUAAUUACCAUGUGCAGGUCAUCAUAUUAGAUAAUAAGUGGGAAUCCCAGAUGUCUGUCAAUCAGAUCCAUACCUCCAAGACAAAGAAAAUAAAAAUCAAAAUGCACAGAGAACAAUACUGAUUUUCAUUAUUGAAAUAUUCAAAUGGUGACUGGGUUGUCAAAUUCAUCAAAGAAAUUAUAUAUUGACUGUGACACAGCUUUAUUGAGACUGCUGAAAGUCCCCAGGGAAUAGAAGAUAAAAUCCCCUGCAGCUUGAACUACCGGAUUAGAAGGAAAUUUCUAAAUGAAACUUGCUAAUGAAGACAACACACUGCUGAGGAAAUAAUGGGAAAUUCAGUGUCGGCGGCUGAUACAACUAACUUGAAAUAAAGCAUUUUUGGAGUAGAGAAUAGUGAAAAGGUGGCAAAUCCCCAAAUCUGUAAGGGAAAUAGUUAAAUACAAGUUGCAUCCAGGGGCCAUUUAGCAUCCGGUGUUUUGGAUAUAGUUAAUAAAAAGGUAUAAGGAAC